UACAGAGGGGGCAAGCGUUGUUCGGAAUUACUGGGCGUAAAGGGCGCGUAGGCGGCCUGCUAAGUCGAACGUGAAAUCCCUGGGCUCAACCCAGGAACUGCGUCCGAUACUGGUUGGCUUGAAUCCGGGAGAGGGACGUGGAAUUCCAGGUGUAGCGGUGAAAUGCGUAGAUAUCUGGAGGAACACCGGUGGCGAAGGCGACGUCCUGGACCGGCAUUGACGCUGAGGCGCGGAAGCCAGGGGAGCAAACGGG
rnacentral:rRNA from 1 species